rnacentral:rRNA from 1 species
UACGUAGGGUGCAAGCGUUGUCCGGAAUUAUUGGGCGUAAAGAGCUCGUAGGCGGUUUGUCGCGUCUGCUGUGAAAACUCAGGGCUUAACCCUGAGCCUGCAGUGGGUACGGGCAGACUAGAGUGUGGUAGGGGAGAUCGGAAUUCCUGGUGUAAGCGGUGGAAUGCGCAGAUAUCAGGAAGAACACCCGUGGCGAAGGCGGCUCUCUGGGACGGUACUGACGCUGAGACGCGAAAGCGUGGGGAGCGAACAGG